rnacentral:lncRNA from 1 species
UGUGUUUAAAUAAAAGGAAGUGCUUCCACCAUGUAAAAAUGUUGGAGUAUUGGGAGGCCGAGGCAGGCGGAUCAUGAGGUCAGGAGAUCGAGACCAUCCUGGCUAACACGAUAUUUUGUGCUGUUUUAGACUGCUCUUUCUUCCAUUAAAUGAGAGAUUAGAUCUGAAUGGCCACGUGAUCUUCUGAGUCCCAUCUGUAAGAAUCUGCAUUUCCACGGAAUUGGGGGAGCAAACGUUCUCAAAACAUUCUUAAAUGCAAACCCGCAGGCACAGCAUGUGUCUGUCAACUCCAAGAGCAUUUGGAUGUUCGAAGGGAGAGGAUGUUUGACAUCUAACCCGUCGUGGAAAGAGGAGCCUCUACAGUGACAUGAAGGCAAUGGAUUCUCAGCAUUACAAGGCAAGACAGAACUUGAAGGAAGAAGGCUGGGAGGAAACCAAUGUUGAAUGAACACUGACUCUGUGCUCAGCCCUGAGCAAGCAGUGGAAUGCCCCUGGGCUGUGAGCCACGAAUUCAAAUCCCAGCUUGUAGAGCUGUUCUGGGGGUUAGAAGUUUGGGGUCCCUCGUUGCUGCACUCGUUCCAGGUUUGGGGCUGGCGCUGCCCUUCUGACCCCUCCCUAAAGUGGACACAGGAGAAGGAGCGGGGAGAAGAGACAGGCGGCCAGGAGACACCCUGUUGAGGGCUCCCUCUGCUUGCAACAGGACCUGCUGAGGUUGCAGCUGAAGUGCUGGUCUUCCCAGAGAAAACAACCCCUCAUUCUCAAAGGAUGAGAGUGAGCCCUGCGGGGCUGCAUGCUCUUGGCCAUGGGAGAUCAACUGUGGUCACAUAGAGUGUAAUCAGUGUGUAUUUAUGGAUCACUCACUACAUGCAAGACCGGGACACAGCCGGGAUUUACUGUGGGGCUGAAAGCAAGUCACUUAAAAAGGUAAAAAUUCAUGUCCUUUUAAUCUACUUUUCAGCAAGGAACAUCACGUCUGAAUGCUCGCGGCCUCUGCCUGCCCCGUGGGAUGGUGCUGGAAAUUAUACUCAUAUUUAGAUAGCAUUCUCUGCAAGUGGCUGCUGUUGUCCUUCCAUCGUCAGCACAGGCAGAUGCUGGGAGUACCCACCUUGGGGUGAGGUGGCAAGAGAGGGCCAGCUUGUAUCCGCCUCGUUGUCGUCCUUCCUUCCUGACUUGACUCUCUCCUCUGUGGCCUUCUCAGGAGUGGGAUGUGGUUGUGAGGAGAAUGUGCACUUUACCCCUCACCAGUCCAGAGAGGGGCACAUAGCCCAAACCUCUCCCCUUCCCAGAAACCUGCAAGUCCCCCUGGGUGCGCCUGUGUGAUGAGGCAGGCUCCGAGAGCCACAGGCUGGUGGGCCACUAGGAAGCAGUAAAGGAAGACAUUUUAUGAUUGUAGCUGGAGAUAAUGAAUUGAAAAGCUGGUCUCUGUUUCUGGAAAUGAUGCCAGGAGGCCCUCAAAAUAAACGCCCACCUGUCCUUCAGGUCUCAACACCUGUUGCUCUUGGGACAGAGAUCCCAGGCCCAAAAUAGGCACAGCUGCUAUGGAUGCUCGUCUUGCCCUCCUGGAGCUGAGACUGGGCCAUGUUUGGAAAUAUGUCUCCCUCCAUCCCCUCCUCCCAUCCUCAUUUGGAGCCUUAGGGCUUUAAGACGUGAGCUCUUUCCUCGCUCCCUCUCCCCAGUCUUUCUUGGGUAUCUCUGCUCCUCCCAUCACCUGUUCCUGGGCAUGGCAUAGGCAGUUGGUAAAUGACAGAUGAAUGAAUACAUGUACAAGGAAACACAGAUCUGAAAUUUCUAGCAGCAAAGUUUGGAGCAGGAAGCUCUGGCUGGCCCUGGGCUUUUUGCUAAGGGUGUUCUGGCUUCGCGUGGCAGCACCCCUCCCCACCGGGCCUUUGCCAGGACGCUCGAUCCUCUCUUCGGGCUUCUGAGCAGUGUGAAUUGCAAACAGCCAUGCCCACUCCCCAGGCCAAGAAAACCAAGUUCAUGGCCAGGAUUGCUCACAAAAAAAAAAAAAAAAAAAGAACCACUUCUGCCUUAUCAUUCUCUCUUUAUUACCGAAAUGCGGAGACAGAAAGUCAACAGAGAAAGAAUUGUUUUCCCCAAGGCCACACAGAUUGCUCCAACACUUGACUUUUCCUGCUAGGAACUCAAUCCAAGAGAUGGGCUUUCUUUUGUUCUCUGACUAUAAAAGGGUGUCACCUUGUCACCAUCUUCUAUCACACAGGACCCCUAUGGGCUUGGUUUGGUUUUGUUCUUUCAUCAUUAUUAUUUGGAAAGUUAUAUUUCCUUUACUGUCCUUGAGGUGUGAGGCUUCACCUCAUCUUGUCUCCAUAUCCCUGAGUCACUAAGGAGUCCUAUGUCAAUGACACCUCUCCAUAUGCUUUACCUAAGCUGCCCCUUCUCUCAGCAAGUUCGCGCCAGGCUUCCCCAUGAAGGCCACCUAAGGGUGUCUAUCGUCCCCCUCCUAAAUCUCCCCAGGACUUUUGAACAAGGGCCAUGUCCAGUUUAAUGUCACACAAAGAAGACUCAUCAAAGCCCAGGAGUUGGGAGUUCUUGCUCCUCACUGCCAUGGAAAGCAUGAAACAUCUGAGAUAAAAAUAAUCUGUGCCAUCCCCUGGCUCCGGAUGGACAGCAGUUGGGGCAUGAGCGCCUCCAGAAUGUCUCAGCAUUGCUGAGGGUAACCGGAUCGCCGCUCAGAUCCAGCAGGCAGCCUCAGAACCUCCCAGCUGCUGUUGUUUUUAGCACCGGGAUUAUUGGUAGGGGUGUAAAUAGACAUCUGUGUUCUGGGUGGCUCGCUCACCCCACAUUCCUAGGCACACUUGUUUUAUUAAAGCUCUCAGCUGUCGGGUGAUCCAGGCGUGGAGAAAUGAAAGGCCGCCCUCACCAGCUGGUGGUGGACUGCAAACUGCAACCAGUUUUCCCCCAUAAGGACAUGUUACUCCUAUUAGAAACUGUGUCCCUCACAUGUCCUUAAGAAGCGGGCCAUCUGCCAAUCAUAAAUCGAGAUCUCAGCCGUUCCAAAUAAAGAAAGAGUCUACCCUCCUUGCUGGCAGUCCUUUUAUAGUUGACAGAUUUUUUUUUUUAAUCUUGUGCUUGGCCAUGUAUUUCUUGUGUAAUUAAAAAAUUAUAAAAGGUAAUAAAAAAUACAAAUCC